UACGGGGGGGGUAAGCGUUGUUCGGAAUUAUUGGGCGUAAAGAGCUCGUAGGCGGUUUGUCGCGUCUGCCGUGAAAGUCCGGGGCUCAACUCCGGAUCUGCGGUGGGUACGGGCAGACUAGAGUGAUGUAGGGGAGACUGGAAUUCCUGGUGUAGCGGUGAAAUGCGCAGAUAUCAGGAGGAACACCGGUGGCGAAGGCGGCCUUCUGGACAGCAACUGACGCUGAGACGCGAAAGCGUGGGGAGCAAACAGG
rnacentral:rRNA from 1 species